rnacentral:rRNA from 1 species
UACGUAGGGUGCAAGCGUUAAUCGGAAUUACUGGGCGUAAAGGGUGCGCAGGCGGUUUUUUAAGUCAGCGGUGAAAUACCUGGGCUUAACCUAGGAAUGGCCGUUGAGACUGGAAGGCUAGAGUGUGUCAGAGGGGGGUAGAAUUCCACGUGUAGCAGUGAAAUGCGUAGAGAUGUGGAGGAAUACCGAUGGCGAAGGCAGCCCCCUGGGAUAACACUGACGCUCAAGCACGAAAGCGUGGGGAGCAAAC